UAGACAGCUCAUGGCAAGGGGGUUCAGAAACUGGUUUUCCCGACAGCCAGGGACUGUUUCUCACCCUGGACCUCGAGCCAGUACCCCCCGAACCCACUCAAGGCUGCCCCCUGGACCCCCCAAGGCAGAGAAGGGACAUCUGCUGCAUGUGUUUCAAUGAUCACAGGAUCUUCUCCUUCCCAGAGG